AGUGAACGCUGGCGGUAGGCCUAACACAUGCAAGUCGAACGGCAGCACAGUAAGAGCUUGCUCUUACGGGUGGCGAGUGGCGGACGGGUGAGGAAUACAUCGGAAUCUACUUUUUCGUGGGGGAUAACGUAGGGAAACUUACGCUAAUACCGCAUACGACCUACGGUUGAAAGCAGGGGAUCUUCGGACCUUGCGCGAUUGAAUUAGCCGAUGUCGGAUUAGCUAGUUGGCGGGGUAAUGGCCCACCAAGGCGACGAUCCGUAGCUGGUCUGAGAGGAUGGUCAGCCACACUGGAACUGAGACACGGUCCAGACUCCUACGGGAGGCAGCAGUGGGGAAUAUUGGACAAUGGGCGCAAGCCUGAUCCAGCCAGACCGCGUGGGUGAAGAAGGCCUUCGGGUUGUAAAGCCCCUUUGUUGGGAAAGAAAAGCAGCAGGUUAAUACCCCGCUGUUCUGACGGUACCCAAAGAAUAAGCACCGGCUAACUUCGUG
rnacentral:rRNA from 1 species